rnacentral:misc_RNA from 1 species
AAUUUCACAAAAACACAGCCACCUUCUCUGCUCUUCUCUCCUGUGCAGCCAGCCAUCUUCUCUUCUCUACUCUACAGCCAUAUCCACACAUCCGCCUCUCUUUACUUAUUCGCCAUGGCUGCCGAGCAAGCUCAACUGGCUGCUAUCCUUGGACCCGAUUCAGCACCAUUCGAAACCCUAAUUUCACAUCUCAUGUCUGCUUCCAACGAGCAACGAUCUCAAGCCGAGUCAAUCUUCAAUCUCAUCAAGCAAAACGAUCCUAAUUCACUCGCUCUCAAGCUUGCUAAUCUUCUCUCCUCUUCACCUCACCACGAAGCCCGUGCCAUGUCCACAAUCCUUCUCAGAAAGUUGCUUACCAGAGAUGACUCUUUCAUCUGGCCUCGCCUCACCGAAUCUACUCAGUCAGGUAUCAAAUCAGUCCUUCUCAGAUGUAUUCAACACGAAGAAUCAAAAUCCAUCAUCAAGAAGCUUUGCGACACUAUUUCCGAACUUGCUUCUUCAAUUCUCCCUGAAAACAAUUGGCCUGAGUUGUUACCCUUUAUGUUUCAGUGUGUUACUUCAGACGUACCUAAAUUACAGGAAUCUGCCUUCUUGAUCUUUGCUUUAUUAGCUCAAUAUGUUGGGGAGAUGUUAGUUCCUUACAUUAAGGACUUGCAUACAGUGUUUAUGCAGACAUUGAAUAACUCGCCUAAUCCUGAUGUCAGGAUUGCGGGCUUAAGUGCUGUCAUUAAUUUUAUUCAGUGUUUAUCAAGCUCAAAUGACAGGGAUAGGUUUCAGGAUCUAUUGCCUGCAAUGAUGAAGACCUUGACUGAGGCUUUGAAUAGUGGACAAGAGGCAACUGCACAAGAAGCUUUGGAGUUGUUGAUUGAAUUGGCGGGUACUGAGCCUAGAUUUUUGAGGAGGCAGCUUGUUGAUGUGGUGGGUGCAAUGUUGCAAAUAGCCGAGGCUGAGAGUUUAGAAGAGGGGACAAGACAUUUGGCUAUUGAAUUUGUUAUUACCUUGGCUGAGGCUAGGGAAAGGGCUCCUGGAAUGAUGAGGAAAUUGCCACAGUUUAUCAGUAGGCUGUUUGCUAUUUUGAUGAAAAUGUUGCUGGAUAUCGAUGAUGAACCUGUCUGGCAUAGUGCUGAAGUUGAGCAUGAGGAUGCGGGGGAAACAAGUAACUACAGUGUUGGUCAGGAAUGUUUGGAUCGUUUGUCCAUUGCGUUGGGCGGCAGUACAAUUGUUCCUGUUGCAUCAGAGCAGUUGCCUCCUUACUUGGCUGCUCCAGAAUGGCAAAAGCACCAUGCUGCGCUCAUUGCGCUUGCUCAGAUUGCUGAAGGUUGCACAAAGGUAAUGAUUAAGAAUUUGGAGCAAGUCGUGAACAUGGUUUUGAGCUGUUUCCAAGAUCCUCAUCCUCGAGUGAGAUGGGCAGCUAUUAACGCA